AGAGCUUGCUCUCAAGAAGUUAGCGGCGGACGGGUGAGUAACACGUGGGUAACCUGCCCAUAAGACUGGGAUAACUCCGGGAAACCGGGGCUAAUACCGGAUAACAUUUUGAACUGCAUGGUUCGAAAUUGAAAGGCGGCUUCGGCUGUCACUUAUGGAUGGACCCGCGUCGCAUUAGCUAGUUGGUGAGGUAACGGCUCACCAAGGCAACGAUGCGUAGCCGACCUGAGAGGGUGAUCGGCCACACUGGGACUGAGACACGGCCCAGACUCCUACGGGAGGCAGCAGUAGGGAAUCUUCCGCAAUGGACGAAAGUCUGACGGAGCAACGCCGCGUGAGUGAUGAAGGCUUUCGGGUCGUAAAACUCUGUUGUUAGGGAAGAACAAGUGCUAGUUGAAUAAGCUGGCACCUUGACGGUACCUAACCAGAAAGCCACGGCUAACUACGUGCCAGCAGCCGCGGUAAUACGUAGGUGGCAAGCGUUAUCCGGAAUUAUUGGGCGUAAAGCGCGCGCAGGUGGUUUCUUAAGUCUGAUGUGAAAGCCCACGGCUCAACCGUGGAGGGUCAUUGGAAACUGGGAGACUUGAGUGCAGAAGAGGAAAGUGGAAUUCCAUGUGUAGCGGUGAAAUGCGUAGAGAUAUGGAGGAACACCAGUGGCGAAGGCGACUUUCUGGUCUGUAACUGACACUGAGGCGCGAAAGCGUGGGGAGCAAACAGGAUUAGAUACCCCUGGUAGUCCACGCCGUAAACGAUGAGUGCUAAGUG
rnacentral:rRNA from 1 species